UGGGGUAUAGCUCAGUGGUAGGGCCCUUACUUAGCAUGCAUGAGGCCCAGGGUUCAAUCCCCAGUGCUACAA
rnacentral:tRNA from 1 species